CGCGAAGAACCUUACCUGGGCUAGAAUGCAGAUCGACCGUGGGUGAAAGCUCAUUUUGUAGCAAUACACGGUCUGUAAGGUGCUGCAUGGCUGUCGUCAGCUCGUGCCGUGAGGUGUUGGGUUAAGUCCCGCAACGAGCGCAACCCCCAUCACUAGUUGCCAUCAGGUAACGCUGGGAACUCUAGUGAAACUGCCGUCGUAAGACGUGAGGAAGGAGGGGAUGAUGUCAAGUCAUCAUGGCCUUUAUGCCCAGGGCUACACACGUGCUACAAUGGAGUGGACAAAGGGCUGCAACACAGUGAUGUGAAGCUAAUCCCAAAAACCACUUCUCAGUUCAGAUUGGAGUCUGCAACUCGACUCCAUGAAGCUGGAAUCGCUAGUAAUCGUAGAUCAGCAACGCUACGGUGAAUACGUUCCCGGGCCUUGUACACACCG
rnacentral:rRNA from 1 species